rnacentral:rRNA from 1 species
GAAUCCCGUCUUUGGCACGGAAACCCCAGGGCUUUUGUGAUGCGCUCUCGAAGAGUCGAGUUGUUUGGGAAUGCAGCUCAAAAUGGGUGGUGAACUCCAUCUAAAGCUAAAUAUUGGCGAGAGACCGAUAGCGAACAAGUACCGUGAGGGAAAGAUGAAAAGCACUUUGGAAAGAGAGUGAAACAGUACGUGAAAUUGUUGAAAGGGAAACGCUUGAAGUCAGUCGCGUCGACCGAGACUCAGCCUUGCCCUUGGCUUGGUGUACUUCUCGGCUGACGGGUCAGCAUCAAUUUUGCCCCUUGGAUAAUGGCGAGGGAAAUGUGACACCUUUACGGUGUGUUAUAGUCUCUUGUCGCAUGCAAGGGUUGGGAUUGAGGAACUCAGCACGCACCUUUGGGUGUCGGGGCUUUGCCCACGAUACGUGCUUAGGAUGUUGGCGUAAUGGCUUUAAACGACCCGUCUUGAAACACGGACCAAGGAGUCUAACAUGCCCGCGAGUGUUCGGGUGGAAAACCCGUGCGCGCAAUGAAAGUGAAAGUUGGGACCUCUGUCGCGGAGGGCACCGACGCCCGGACCAGAGCUUCUGCGACGGAUCUGCGGUGGAGCGUGUAUGUUAGGACCCGAAAGAUGGUGAACUAUGCCUGAAUAGGGUGAAGCCAGAGGAAACUCUGGUGGAGGCUCGUAGCGAUUCUGACGUGCAAAUCGAUCGUCAAAUUUGGGUAUAGGGGCGAAAGACUAAUCGAACCAUCUAGUAGCUGGUUCCUGCC